rfam:Camelus ferus unplaced genomic scaffold scaffold655, whole genome shotgun sequence.
GAGGAUAUAGCUCAGAGGUAGAGUACGUGCUUGGCAUGCACGAGGUCCUGGGUUCAAUCCCCAGUACCUCCA